UUUAGCUGUGGUUUUGUUUUUUGUGACAUUAUAUGCUAGCUUGAAAAAUGGGUGUCUUAUUAUUUCUGGCUGGGUACUCUGCUGACAUAAUCUAAUGUUUUGCUUUCCCUGUAAAGCCUUUUUGAAAUCGGACAGUGUGGUUAGAUAAAGGAGAGUCUUGUCUUUAAAUAGCUGUAAAAUUAGAGGAGUUUGUAUUUCGCGCCCCGCCCAUCAUUGGAUAUUGGAGCAGACGUUCCGCUAGCGGAACAUCUAGAUGUAAGAGGUUAUUAAAGUACCUAAAGCAAGGGGCUAUAGCAGCACACAAGUAGACUACAAAUGCAUGCUCGGGCGGGCAUGCCCUGAGCUCGUGAAAUGAGGGUUACUGGAGCGAAAUUGCAACUCUCCAGUCAAAUUGGGCAAGUUCUGCUCGUCGCUUGUCGCUCCGCUCCAGCUCCACCCCGCUCAUAUACUCCGAUUCUGACACAGAAUGGAAGUACAAGGAAAACAGGAUUUUAGAUAUGGAGAAGAGUAUGCAUGUGAUGAUGAUGUAAGCUGUGAUGGAGUGCUAAACUUGACGAGUAAACUUACCCAUUGUGUCCUCAUGUUACAGAGCCUACUACACAACAGUUGCUUAAUCAUGCAAGACACAGCUUUGAUUUGAAAGUCAAGA
rnacentral:lncRNA from 1 species